UACGUAGGGGCAAGCGUUGUCCGGAAUCAUUGGGCGUAAAGCGCGUGUAGGCGGUCCGGUAAGUCCGCUGUGAAAGUCGGGGGCUCAACCCUCGAAUGCCGGUGGAUACUGUCGGGCUAGAGUGCGGAAGAGGCGAGUGGAAUUCCUGGUGUAGCGGUGAAAUGCGCAGAUAUCAGGAGGAACACCGAUAGCGAAGGCAGCUCGCUGGGACGGUACUGACGCUAAGGCGCGAAAGCGUGGGGAGCGAACAGG
rnacentral:rRNA from 1 species